AUCUUUGCGCUUGGGGCAAUGACCAAGCUAGUGAGGUUAUACCGAGGCGCGUCAAUUGCUGGUUGAAAACUAUUUCCAAACCCCCUCUUUGGCCCUCACGGUCACUGAGAAUUUCUGGAAGGGUUCCCUCCUUGUGAGGGUAAAGUCCACAAAUC